AUUACCUUCAGGCAUCUCAAAAAAAUAUAUCAAAGAAUUAAAACUCACCAGAUCCAGACAAUGAGAUACCCCUCAUUCAUCAUGAUUGCUUCCUUGCCCCUUUCUAGCUCCUGUUUUCUCACACAUUGUUGCAUUUCUUUCCUGCUAUAUAAAACCCCAAUUUUAGUCAGUUAGGGAGAUGAAUUUGAGUGAUCCCCUGUCUCCUCUGCUGCAGCACCCAAUUAAAGCCUUCCUCCUUGGCAAUACUCAUCUCAGUCAUUGGCUUUCUGUGCGGAGAGCAGCAGGACCUAGACUAAACCCCUGGUGUUUCGGUAACAAAAUGAUUGACAGUGAUUGAGUUUUCAUCAUGUAUAUUGAUUGUCUUCCAUUACAGCCAACUGUAUCAUAAGAUAUUCUACCCUUGUUCACUUUACUUUUUGUAUGUCCCUGGCUUUGACUUCCACGGUAUUACUGAAAUAUUCUUAAUAGGUGAACAAGGACUUUCUCAUAAUUACACCUUACACUUUAUUUGAACUGUCAGCAUCUCUGAGCUCCAGAUUUAUUUAUCUAAGUAUCUACUGGUUCCUUCUAUUUGGGUUUCCUAGUUACCUCAAAAUCAAACUUUGGAAGCUGGAGCUAACUGCCUUCUUGUUCUUUCUUCCAACUAAUUGCUCAAACCAGAAAUUCAGGUAAUAUUAUUGACUCUUCCAACCUGUUUUCUAACCUCAUCUACUGAUCACCAAUUAAGGUGCAUAUUAACUCCUAUGUAUUUCUUCUAAUCUGUCAAGUUUCUCUCUGUCCACAAGUCUUUAUUCUAAUUAACUCCAGUAUCAUCUUUUGUCUGAAUUAUAGCAAUUCCCUUCUGACUAAUCUUAUUGUCUACAAUAUUUUGCAACUCCAUUCCCUUCUUCACAUUGCAGACAAGACAACCUUUUUCAAAAGUAAGUCAUAUAAACAUGUAAGUGUGUAUACACUAUAUGGAUAUGUCUGUAUGCUUAUGUAUGUAUACAUGCAUGAAUGUGUGUAUGUAAUUCCACAUUUUAAAGUUCAUUGGUUUGUCUCAGAAUAAAUUUCCAAAUACUUAAUCUGGUUUAAGAGUAACCUGUGUUUUUCUGCAAUCUUUAUGUAGUAUUUCUGUUUAUUUAUCCAGCCCUACCUUAUAUUGUAUCAUCUCCAGAUUUUACAACCAUCUGUAUUGAACCACAUUCAGUUCCAGAAUAAUUAUGAUAUUCUUUUUUAUUCCUUUAGGGUUUUAUUUCCCAAAACAUACUUUUCCUUCUGUUUGCAACUCUUUUUUGUUCUUCUUCAAACCAUGCUGUCCUGCUUUUUCAUGCCUGCUUCUGGAUAAUCUCAUGGAUGGAAAGGGUGAAUAACUGGAUCUGUGGACUUUCCUCUCAUCUCCUGGACAUCUAAGGUCCACAUUUGCUGAAAUGUAACUCUUACCUCACGCACUGGGAGUGAUGAACUUCACUAGGAAAUCAUCGUUCUUUCUGGUAUCUUAAGCUUGGAACCUCCGUAAGAAAAGGGACUUGAAAUGAUCUUACACAGAAGGAAUUAGACGAUAUAAGCUGCAGCUCAGAAUCAGAGGAUUUUGCUCUAUUGCCUAAGCUGGAGUGCAAUGACAUACGAUUGCUUACUGCAGCCUCCAACUCCUGAGCUUAAGCAAUCCUACCACCUAACCCUCCUAAGUAGCUGGGACUACAGUGAUCAUAACCAAUUAUCCAGGAAAAGGGACCGAAGAAAUCAAGAAAAAGGAGAAUAGACUCUUUAUGCAUAGGAGCUUUAAUAUAUAGUUGACACUUGAACAACAUGGAUCUGAACUACACAAGUCCACUUGUUGGUGGAUUUUCUUCAGCCUCUGCCACCCUUGAGACAACAAGACCAAUACCUCCUCUUUUUCCUUCUCCUCAGCCUACUCAACCUGAAGAUGGUGAGAAUGAAGACCUUUAUGAUCAUCCACUUCUACUUGUUGAAUAGUAAAUAUAUUUUUUCCUUAUGGUUUUCUUAAUAACACUUUCCUUUCUCUUGAUUACUUUAUUGCCAGAAUACAGUACAUAGUACAUAUAAUAAGCAAAGUAUGUAUUAGUUUACUGUUUAAGUGAUAGGUAAGGCUUCCACUCAACAGCAGGCAACAGCCAGGUGUUGUGACACAUGCCUGUAAUCCUAGCAUUUUGGGAGGCCAAGGUGGAGGAUCGCUUGAGCCCAGGAGUUCAAGGCCAGCCUAAGUAACAUAGUGAGACCCCCAUCUCCACAAAAAAUUAAAAUACCUAAUCAUGGUGGUGCAUGCCUGCAAUCCCAGCUACUCAGGAACCUACAAUAGGAGCCAAAAAGGUGGAGGUUACAAUGAGCCAUUAUUGCAGUACUGCACUGCACUCCUGCCUGGGAGACAGAGUGAGACCUUGUCUCAAAAAACAACAACAAACAACAACAACAGCAACAAAAAUCAGUAGGUAUUAAUAGUUAGGUUUUUUGGGAGUCAGAAGUUAUACACAGAUUUUGACUGUGCAGGGGAUCAGCGCUCCUAACUCCUGCAUUCUUCAAGGGUUACCUGUAUUCUUGAUACAAGUUCUCCUUCAGAUUUAAGUAUUAUAGAUAUUUUUCCAGUCUAUAGCUUACCUAUUCAUUUUCUUAAUAAUGUCUUUUGAUUGAUUUUUAAUUUUUAACUUUGGUGAAUUCCAGUUGUAUACUUUUUUUAUGAUUAGCAUUUUUGUGUCCUAUGAAACUGUUGCCUUCCUCAAUGUGACUAAAUUCUGUUAGGUUUCUCUUCUAGCAAGUUUAUGUUUCAAAUUUUCACCCUUAGGUCUAUAAUUCAUCCCAAAUUUAUUUUUGUCUGUAAAGCAAUGUCACGAUUCAUUUUUUUUCUCAAUAUAGUUACCCAGUUGUUUCAAAACUGGUUAUUAAAGUUUUUCUCUUGAUCAUUGAAUUUUCUUGGCACCAAAUUAUUAACUCUUGACAAAAAUAAUUGACCCUUAAGUAAGCAGACGGACAAGCAGUGCUUCUAUUUUAUAGCAAUGUAAAUAAUACACAACUUACACAAAGACUUUUUAGAAGCUAACUAACAGUGGUCAUAUCUAAGUACGUACACCAGAUUUUUUAUAACCACUUUUAAAAUAAAAGUAUUUAGAUUUUAACACAUAGAUUAGGACAGAGAAAGCAUAUGGUGGAAUAAACUGUAUCUUUUUGGCCAGAUGGUGCUAUUUCUAGGUCAUCUUGAUAAAGAGAGGAGGCAAACAUGAAAACUUAAUGAAAAACUACUUAUGAUGCUGGAGAACAUCUUGGCUUUGAGUCACUUUUAAAUCAUAGAAGAGGAUUAUUCCAUAAAAUUAUUUAUAAUGCCUAAAAUUAUUCUUUGCCCAAAUCAUAAAUUUUCAGCAUUACCAAGAACCCAGUUAGUAUGUAUACAGUGUUUCAGCAAGUGCAGAGAUGCCCAGGUGGUUGGGAUUCAAUACAUCGAGCUGUCACGCUGCACAUUCUUGGAGUACAACCUUAAUGGGCAUUUUCCCACCUGUGCAAUUCCUCUGUUUUCACCCCACUCCAUUCAUAUUUCACAAACUACUCUAAUUAUAGUAUUUAUUAUUGACCUCAGGCAAAAGAAGUUUGAAAGGGUGGAAAAAACAUAUGCAUUUUGUCUCCAUGGAUAGUAAAUCACUGAGCUAUUAUUCCUUGGGAAUCCCAAUUCAUGAGAAAUUACAUAGACAGACUUUUGCCCUAACACUAAUCAGCUGCCUGACCUGUAAAUAUUUCAGCUCCUUGCCUGUAUCUAUUUCUCCUUGCAGAAAACUGUAAUUUAUCUAGAUUUUUCUAAUAAUUCACUGACAUUUUACUGCUGGCCAAUGAGUAAAUCAUUGUUGCUUUUGGUAUCUUAUGAUUUUGUUCUUUUGUGUCAAAGUUUAGCUAGUUUCAUCUAUCAGGUUGGAAUAAAAAAUGCAAAUUAUGACUAUACCACUUAUAUAGUUACAUGAUCUACUGACCAAAGUUAAUCAUCACUUUAAUCUUGGUAACUCUUUCAGAGCCCUAAUUGUAAUAGCCUUUGCCUGAGUUACCUAGAGAGUGGUCUCAAUAAUCCCCUUUUAUUUUUCAGGUAGAGAAAAGGGCACACAAAAUGAUAUUAUCUCGAUCACCCAGCACAUGUAUUAAACUAUAACAGACUUUUUAAAUCAUGUGUGAUCUUUUAUUUUUUGACUGAAAGGGACUAAGUUUGCUGCCCAGAGAAGUCUUUAGGGAGCAAGGAAAGGUAAGCAAAUAAACUUAUCUGGAGUCAAAGGUCUCAAGGAAAAUCUUGCUUUCUAUAAAAGGCAGACAACGUCAAGGCUCAUAGAUUUUCCCAGGGCUAAAAAUCAGAGCCAGUUGCCUCCCAUCUUGAAAAGACUUAUUCAUCAUGCUGGUUGAAGUAUCACAGAUCUUGUCAAAAUAUUCGUGACUCACAUAUGACCCAUCCAAAAGACAAAAGUCAACAAAAUAUUUUACCAAAUUCUAAAAUAGUGUUUGUUUUAUUAUUCUUUGUUAUUCUUCAACAAUUAUUGUUACCUUUAUUAUAUGAAAUAUAAUAGCAAUUCCUUGUCUUCAUGGUCUUUCUGUUACAGACAUGUUUUACACUAAUUAUACCACUUUAGUGAAAUUCAUCAUACAUAUUCCUGAUCUAAAUUCCUUUUUUAUUAACCAUAUAUGAGAGAAAGUGGAUAUUAAAAUAAUUUUGGUGGUAAAAUAAGCGAAAAAAUAAAACAAGCAUGGUUAAAAUGAUUAAAUUAUGGAAAAGUGACCCAUGUGUUUCAGAUAAACUGAUGCUUGAGGGUUUUUGUUGUUAUUGUUGUUUAAAUUUUAUUUUAUUUUAAUUUUAAGUUCCAGGAUACAAGUGCAGGAUGUGCAGGUUUCUUACAUAGGUAAAGAUGUGCCAAAAUGGUGGUUUGCUGCACCUAUCAACCUAUCACCUAGGUAUUAAGCCCUACAUGCAUUAGCUCCCUCCCACUGCCCCUGCAACAGACCCCAGUGUUUGUUGUUCCCUCCCUGUGUCCAUGUGUUCUCAUUGUUCAGCUCCCACUUGUAAAUAAGAACCUACAGUGUUUGGUUUUCUGUUCCUGUUUUAGUUUGUUGAGGAUAAUGACUUCCAUGAAGCUUGAGUUUUUAUUCUACGAUUUACUGAAUGACAUUUGAGCAGCUAGCUGACUUUUUAAUGCCUUGAUUUUAAUAAUUCAAUGAGUUAUUGGGUGAGAUAAUUUAGAACAGCAUACAUGAUAUCGUUAUUAUUAGUCAAUAAAAUACUAUUUAUCUUAUUUAUUACUAAUAACAAAAAUAUGUGUAUGACCCUUCGCUAUGUUUGAAUAUGUGAUAUAUUGAAUUGAAUUCACUGUGAGGCUUCAGUAGGUACCUAUAAUAUUCAAAUAUGUUAGCUGAAAGCUGUGAAAAAUAUAUUUUUAAAAAUUAGAUUUACAUGCAGUCAAGUUUUCUUUUGAUGACACACUCUCUUGAUAUAUACUAAGUUUUAUACUUGGAAUCUUUCACUUUUAUCCUUACUCAGAAACGUGAAUAUUAAGAAUCAGUAGAGCCAGCUCUUCUACAUGUUGCCUGCCAAUUGCUAUCUUGCCUACUUUUAAAACACCUCUAACUUAAGAAAAUGAAAACCCACAAACUAACAAAUGUUCCAGGGAAGUCCGUGGCAUCACUUGGAACUUUUCAUCAUUAGUCCCAGCUACACUCUUUUGUGUUAUAUACAACAUUGGCAUAUACUCUAGUCAUCUGUAUGCCAAGUUAAAUGAGACUUCAUUCAGCAACCAGUAAUAUGUCAUGCAUCAGAAGUCUCUCUCAUCAUAUUGCUUAUCACCAUCAAAUAGUUUCCAUUUUGUCUUUAUUCCUUUAAAAUUGUCAUGCUUAAAAUUGAUGCAAAUAAUGUAGAUACUUGUGAUUCUAUUAUCUCUACAUAUAUUUUUCUACUUUGCAAGAGAUGUGAAUUUUAAUAAAUUAGUUCUCUUAGAUUAUAAUGCUACAGAAAAACUGAAUGACCUGACUCGUUGGUGAUUUGAUUGGGAUUGGAUUUGUGUUCCUGCCCAAAUCUCGUGUUGAAAUGUAAUCCCCAAUGCUGGAGAUGGGAACUGAUGUGAGGUGAUUGGAUCAUGGGAGUGGUUUCUAAUAGUUUAACACCAUCCCCGAAGUGCUGUUUCAUGAUAGAGUUCUCUGAAGAUCUGGUUGUUUAAAAAUAUGUGUACCUCCCAUCUGUCUCUUCCUCCUGCUCUGGCCAGGUAAGAUUUGCCUGCUUUCUCUUCACCUUCACCUUCCACUGAAGAGAGAGGUUAAAGAUUAACCCCCCAACUCUAAUCACAUGUACUAUCUAUAAAUCUCAAUCUAUCAAGACCCUUUCACGUGGACCCCUUGGAGUUGUAAGCCCUUAAAAGGGUCUGGAGCUCUUUCUUCGGAGAGCGUCAUUCUUGAGAUGCAAGUCUGCUGAUGCUCCCAGCCAAAUAAAGCCUCUUCCUUCUUUAACACGGCAUCUGAGGGGUUUUGUCUGUGGCUCAUCCUGCUGCAUUUCUUGGUUCCCUGACCAGGAAGUGAUGUGAUUAACGGACAGUUGAGGCAGCCCCUUAGGUGACUUACACCUGCCCUGCAGAGCAUCCCUGCAGGGAACUCCAGCCAGCUUGAGCGAUGGGGAUCCUGAGACCGCUCCUGGGUAGGUAUUUGUCCUGGUAGAACUCCUUGUCAGAGUGGUGCAUGGCAGGCCCCCGCAGAUGAUCAAUGCAAUGUCUGAACACCGGGAAGGAACCAGUGCUUGGAGUCCAGACAUCUGGAAUACAGAAGGACUGGUCCUGGGAACUUGCCCACUCCAUUUGAGUGGAAGCGUGGCCUGAUCACCCACUGUGUGCCCUUAUGGGCACUUUGGUCUCAGUAUUGAUUUUGAUUUGGCUUGACCUGUUUGCAAAAAGGAAAGUGAAAGUGAGUGAGUGCUUGAGUUUUAGAUGUGCAAGGUGAGCGAGUGACCUCUUUACCCUUUCCUUCUUGUGGUGUGAGUGUUGUUUUGUCUCAGGAGGAAAAUGGGUGGAACGCAAAGUAAGCCCACUCUGCUAGGAACUAUGUUGAAAAAUUUCAAGGAAAGAUUUAAUGGAGACUAUGGAGUUACUAUACACCAGGAAAACUUAGGACUUUGUGUGAAAUAGACUGGCCAGCAUUGGAAGUGGGUUGGGCAUCAGAAGGAAACCUAGAUGGGUCCCUUGUUUUCAAAUGUAUGGCACAAAGUAACUAGUAAGCCAAGACACCCAGACCAGUUUCCGUAAAUAGACACUUGGUUACAGCUGGUUUUAGAGCCACCACAGUGGUUAAGAGGACAGGCAGCAGUAGUACUAGUGGCAAAGGGACAGACAGCCAAGGAAGAAUCCUGCUCCACCAACCUAAGGGAGUCAGCUCCUAAAGUCCUGUGUGAUCCAACACCAGAGGAUUCAUGGCAAGAAACAGCACCAGUGGCCCCCUUUCCACCAAGAAGAAAAGUCUCCCACUCCGAUACCCCAUCCUAUACCGAAAAGCCACAAGCUCUGAUUGAUUUGCUCCAAACUGUUAUCCAGACCCACAAACCCCACCUGGGCUGAUUGCCACCAGUUGCUCAUAUGCCUCUUUAACACAGAUGAAAGGAGGAGAGUGCUCCAAGCAGCAACGAAGUGGCUUUAGAACAUGUUCCAGCUGAUUACCAAAACCCCCAAGAGUAUAUGAGGAUCCAAUUACCAGGAACAGUUGCCGAGUGGGACCCAAAUGAAAGACAGGGUAUGCAAAGGCUAAACCAGUACAGGAAAGCCCUUCUGGAAGGGUUAAAGAAGGGAGCUCAGAAGGUCACAAAUGUUAACAAAGUCUCUGAGGCCAUUCAAGGAAAAGAUGAGAGCCCGGCACAAUUCUACAAGAGACUACGUGAGGCCUAUCGUAUGUAUACCCCCUUUGAUCCCAGUAGCCUUGAAAAUCAGCACAUGAUUAACAUGGCUUUAGUUAGUCAAAGUGUAGAAGACAUUAAAGAAAAUCUCAGAAACAGGCUGGGUUCACAGGCAUGAAUACUUCACAGUUAUUGGAAAUAGCCAACCAGGUGUUUGUGAAUCGAGACGCAGUAAGCUACAGAGAGAACUGCAGAGAGAGUGAACGCCAAGCCCUGUGAAAUGCCAACCUGCUAGCCACAGCUAUAAGAGGGGUCCCCCCAAAGAGACCAGAGAAGGGGGGCCCCAGGAAAAAUACCCAGUCUGGCCAUCCACGCUUGCAGCGUAAUCAGUGUGCUUACUGUAAGGAAAUAGGACAUUGGAAGGACAAGUGCCCACAGUUGAAAGGGAAACAAGGUGACUCUGAGCAGAAGGCCUCAGACAAGGAUGAAGGGGCCUUGUUCAAUCUGGCAGAAGGGUUACUGUACUGAGGGGGACCAGGCUCAUGUGCCCCCAAAGAGCCCAUGGUCAGGAUGACAGUCGGGGACAAGGACAUUUAGUUUCUUGUCGAUAUUGGUGCUGAACAUUCAGUAGUAACCACCCCAGUCGCCCCCUUUCCAAAAAGACUAUUGACAUAAUCAGAGCCACAGGGGUUUCGGCAAAGCAAACGUUCUGUUUGCCCCAGACCUGCACUGUGUGGGGCAUGAAGUGAUUCACCAGUUCCUGUACAUGGCUGACUGCCCCUUGCCUUUGCUAGGAACGGACCUACUUAGCAAGCUGAGAGCCACCAUCACUUUUGCAAAGCACGGCUCUUUACAGCUAAAGCUACCUGGAACGGGAGUCAUAAUGGCCCUUAUGGUUCCUUGGGAGGAGGAAUGGAGACUCUUCUUAACUGAGCCAGGCCAAGAGAUAGGACCAACUCUGGCUAAGUGGUGGCAAAAGGUGUGGGUGGAAGACAACGCUCUAGGGUUGGCAAUCAACCAGGCCCCCGUACUCAUAGAAGUUAAGCCUGGGGCCCAGCCAGUCAGACAAAAACAGUACCUGGUCCCCAGAGAAGCUCUUGAAGGUAUCUGGAUCCAUCUCGAGUGCCUGAGGGCCUUUGGAAUUGUAGUCCCUUGUCAGUCUCCAUGAAACAAUCCCCUCCUGCCUGUCACCAAGCCAGGGGCCAUGGACUGCAGGCUGGCACAGGAUUUGCGCUUGGUCAACCAAGCUACAGUGACUUUGCACCCAGUGGUACUUAACCUGUACACAUUGUUGGGGUUGCUGCCAGCUGAGGACAGCUGGUUCACUUGCCUGGACCUAAAGGACAUUUUCUUUAGCAUCAGGCUAGCUCCUGAGAGCCAGAAACUGUUUGCCUUUCAGUGGGAGGAUCCGGGGUCAGGUGUCACCACUCAGUACGCUUGGACCCGGCUUCCCCAAGGGUCCAAGAACUCCCCCACCAUCUUUGAGGGGGUGCUGGCUUGAGACCUCCAGAAGUUUCCCACUUCUGGAGUUUCGAGUGGAGUUUCCCACUCGAGCUGCUUGCUGCUCAAGUACUUCGAUGACCUCCUGCUGGGACACCCCACGGCAGUCAGGUGUGUCAAGGGAAUGGAUACCCUACUCCAGCACCUGGAGGACUGUGGGUAUAAGGUGCCCAAGAAGAAAGCUCAGAUCUGCAGACAGCAGGUAAGUUACCUGGGAUUUACUAUCUGACAGGGGGAGCACAGCCUGGGAUCAGAAAGAAAGCAGGUCAUUUGCAACCUACCGGAGCCCGAGACCAGAAGGCAGGUGAGAGAAUUCUUAGGAGCCAUGGGGUUCUGCAGGUUAUGGAUCCCAAACUUUGCAGUACUGACCAAGCCCCUGUACAGAGUCACAAAGGGGAGCGACAAGGAACCUUUCAAAUGGGGGUCCCAAAAGCAAUGAGCUUUUCAUGAGUUAAAAGAGAAACUCAUGUCAGCCCCUGCCCUGGGGCUGCCUGACCUGACAAAGCCAUUUACACUAUAUGUGUCAGAGCGAGAGAAGAUGGUGGUUGGAGUUUUGACCCAGAUCAUGCGGCUCUGGCCAAGGCUGGUGGCCUACAUCUCUAAACAACUAGAUGGGGUUUCUAAAGGUUGGCCCCCAUGUUUGAGGGCCUUGGCUGCAACUGCCAAUGGAUGGAUCCAGUUAUCAGAUAAAAAAAUAGCCAUGCCACAACUGCUAGGAGCCACAGUCGUACUGGCUGUUCUUGAGGCCCCACAUGCUGUGGUGACUUUAAUGAAUACCAAAGGACAUCAUUGGCUAACAAAUGCUAGACUAACUAGGUACCAAAGCUUACUCUGAAAAUCCCCACAUAACCAUUGACGUUUGCAACACCUUGAACCCCACCACCUUACUCCUGGUAUCAGAGAGCCCAGUUGAACCUAACUGUGUAGAGUUGUUGGACUCAGUUUAUUCUAGCAGGCCCGACCUCCAAGACCCUUCUUGGAAAUCAGUAGACUGGGAGCUGUAUAUGAACGGAAGCAGCUUCGUCAACCCACAAGGAGAGAGGUGUGCAGGAUAUGCAGUGGUAAUGCUGGGCACUGUCAUUGAAGCCAAAUCAUUGCCCAGGGUACUUCAGCCCAGAAGUCCAAACUCAUUACUUUAAUUCGGGCCAUAGAGCUAAGUGAAGAUAAGACUGUAAAUAUUUAUACUGACUCUCGGUAUGCCUUCUUAACCCUCCAGGUGCAUGGGGCAUUGUAUAAAGAAAAAGGCCUGUUGAACUCUGGGGGAAAAGACACAAAGUAUCAGCAAGAGAUCCUGCAAUUAUUAGAGGCAGUGUGAAAGCCCCAAAAGGUGGCAGUCAUGCACUGCAGAGGACACCAACAAUCUUUCACCUUGAUUGCCUUGGGGAACUCCCGAGCUGACUCAGAGGCUCGAAAAGCAGCAUCCACCCCCUACCGGGCAUCAGUCACAGCACCCCCCUGCUCCUUCAGGCACCUGACCUUGUACCUACUUAUUCUAAAGAAGAGAAGGACUUUCUCCAGGCAGAGGGAGGGCAGGUGAUAGAAGAGGGAUGGACCAAGUUAUCAGAUAGAAGAAUAGCCAUGCCACAACCGCUAGGAGCUGCAGUCAUACUGGCUGUUCAUGAGACCACCCACCUAGACCAAGAGUCACUUGAAAAGUUGUUAGGCCGGUAGUUCUACAACUCACAUCCGGCAGCCCUUGCCAAAACAGUGGUGUAUCAGUGUGUCACCUGCUGGCAGCACAAUGGUAGGCAAAGUGCAAAUGUCCCGCCCGGCAUACAAGCCUGUGGAGCAGACCCCUUUGAAGAUCUCCAAGUAGACUUCACCAAGAUGCCCAAAUGUGGAGGUAACAAGUAUUUGCUAGUUCUAGUGUGUACAUACUCUGGGGGUGGUGGUGGUGGUGGUGUGGAGGUCUGUCCAACACUAACUGAGAAAACUCUUCAAGUAACCCGUGUGAUUCUCCGAGAUCUCAUCCCUAGGUUUGGACUGCCCUUACAAAUAGACUCGGACAACAGGCUGGCAUUUGUGGCUGACUUGGUACAGAAGACAGCAAAGGUAUUGGGGAUCACAUAGAAACUACGUACCACUUACCGACCACAGAGUUCUGGAAAAGUGGAGCAGAUGAAUCAGACUAUCAAAAGUAAUUUAGGGAAAGUGUGUCAAGAAACAGGAUUAAAGUGGGUACAAGCUUUCCCUAUGGUAUUGUUUAAGAUUAGAUGUACCCCUUCUAAAAGAACGGGAUAUUCCCCUUAUGAACUGUUAUAUCAUAGGCUCCCUCCCAUACUACCGGGACUCCCAGGCACUCAUCAAGAGCUAGGUGAAAUUGAGUUACAGUGACAGCUACAGGCUUUAAGGAAAAUUACACAAACAAUUUCAGUCUGGGUAAAUGAGAGGUGGCCCAUCAGCUUAUUCUCCCCAGUUCACCCUUUCUCCUCAGGUGAUCGGGUGUGGAUCAAGGAUUGGAACAUAGCCCCCUUGCAGCCAUUGUGGAAAGGACCCCAGACCGUCGUCUUGACCACAGCCAUAAAGGUAGAGGGAAUCCCAGCCUGGAUCCACCACAGCCAUAUAAAACCUACAGCACCUCAGACCUGGGAGGUGAGACCAAGCCAGGACAACCCCUGCAAAGUGAUGCUGAAGAAGACAAUAAGCCCUGCUCCUGUUACACCCAGAAGCUGGCUGGUCCAUGCCUGGCUGAAGCAUAAGGAAACUCAUUGUGGGUCUCAUUUUCCUUAAAUUUUAGAUUUGUACAGUAAGGACUUCAACUGAUCUUCCUCAGACUGAGGACUGUUCCCAGUGACAUCAAGUUACUGAGAUAGGGCAAAAAGUUAAAACAGUCUUUCUGUUUUAUAAUUAUUAUGAAUGUACUGGAACUCUAAAAGGGUCUUGUUUGUAUAAUGCCACCCAGUACAAGGUAUGCAUCCCAGGAAGUGACCAGCCUGAUGUGUGCUAUAACCCAUCUGAGCCCCCUAUGACUACAGUUUUCAAAAUAAGAUUGAGGACUGGCAACUGGGGAAAAGCUGAUAUGAGUAAAGUAAUAACUAAAACAGAAGAGAAAGGAGUUCCCAAACAAAUUAUCUUAAAAUUUGAUGCCUGUCCGGCAAUCAACAGUGACCCGUAUGGAAAUAGAAUAAGAUGUGGCUCUCUAGACUGGGAAAGUGGCUAUAUAGUAGAAAAUAAGUAUGUUUGCAAUGAAUUGGGACUGUGUAGUGAUGAACAUAGUUACUGGUCCUGUGUCAUUUAGGCUACCUGGAAAAAAGAUAAGAAGGACCCUGUCCUCCUUCAAAAAGGAAAGAGUAACUGUUCCUGCUAUAGUGGUCACUGUAACUCAUUAGAACUACCUGAUCACCAUUGGAAAACAGGAGAGUAUGUAACCCUAGGAAUCAAUGGAACUGGACUGCAUCCCCAAGUAAAUAUUUAAGUGCAAAGGAAGGUCCACAGGCUCUUUCCCAAACCAGUGUUUCAGACCUUUUAAUAAUAAUAGUGUUAGGAGCCUGCAUGUUACUCCCCUGUAUGUUACCCAUAUUUCUACCACCUUAGUUCAUCAAAAGACCCAGCACAAGUGUAUUACAUGAAUCCCUAUUGAUCUGUCUCACAGGAAGACCUGGGUGGUGACUAUGAAAGUGAGAACUCCCACUAGUGAGUGAGGUUCUCAAAGUGGGGGAAUGAGGAGAGAGGCCAUUUAUCUUACUGUCUCCUGUCUCUGAAGAGAAAGAGGAAGUAAGAGCUGAAAAACAACAGGAAUGAAAUCAGUGGCAAGACCAGCCAGUGCGCCGAUGACCAGGCCUGAGGUUAAAAGAUUAACCCCCAACUCUAACCACAUGUGCUACCUAUAGAUCUCAAUCUAUCAUGACCCUUUCACGUGGAACCCCUUAGAGUUGUAAGCCCUUAAAAGGGUCAGGAACCCUUUCUUUGGGGAGCUCCAUUCUUGAAAUGCAAGUCGGCCAAUAGUCCAGUCCGAAUAAAGCCACUUCCUUCUUUAAUCUGGUGUCUGAGGGGUUUUGUCUGCAGUUCAUCCUGCUACAGUCCCAGUGCUGGUGGCCACAGGAGUGCUUAUGUCGCCCCUCCCCUAAAUGCAGACAGCACAGCAUGGAGAGAGAGAGAGAGACUCCGUUUGUUUAGGGGAGAGUGAAGGAAAAGAACAAGAGCCUCUGCCUCAUAAUCCAGGGAAUUCUGCCAGAUCUUACUGAAGACCACCUAGAUGGUACAUCUAUGAGUUUGCAAGAGUCAUAGUGUUACUGGGCUUGAGAUGCCUCUAAAGCAGAUAUGGCUGCAGUGACCAAAUACUUAGAUCACAACCCUCAAUUCCCUUUGAAUACUGGGAAAGCCUUCUCAAGGAGGAUGGGAGGCUGGGCAUGGUGGCUCAUGCCUGCAAUCCCAGCACUUUAGGAGGCCAAGGUGGGCAGAUCUCCUGAGGUGGGGAGUUCAAGACCAGCCUGACCAACAUGGAGAAACCCCGUCUCUACUAAAAAUACAAAAUUGGCCAGGCGUGGUGGUACAUGCCUGUAAUCCCAGCUACUUAGGAGGCUGAGGCAGGAGAAUCACCUGAACCUGGGAGUUGGAGGUUGCAGUGAGCCGAGAUUGUGUCAUUGCACUCCAACCUGGGAAACAAGACUGACAUUCCAUGAGGAAGAAGAAGGAGAAGGAGAAGGAGACCAGAUGUGGUGGCCCAUGGCUAUAAUUCCAACAAUUUGGGAAGCUGAGGAGGGAGGAUCACUUGAAUCCAUGAGAUCAAAACCAGCCUGGGCAACAUACUGAGAUCCUGUGUCUACAAAAAAUACAAAAAUCAGCUGGGCAUGGUGGCAUGUGCCUGUACUCCCAGCUACUUGGGAGGCUGAGGUGAGAGGAUCACUUGAGCCCAGGAGGCUGAGGCUGCAGUGAGCCAUGAUCAUGCCAUUGCACUCCAGCCUGAGUGGCAGAGUGAGAUUCUGUCUUAGAAGAAAGAAACAAACAGAGAAAGAUGGGUACACACAAGCACAGACUGUGGAGAUUAUAAUAAAUAACUAAUUCUUUAAUGGCCAGACAUUGACCAAUAGCCACAAGCAUCAAGAGCAUCCAGGAAAACAUGACCUCACAAAAUUAAAUAAGGCAUGAGUGGCCAAUCUCAGAGUGACAGAAAUAUGUGAUCUUUCACAGAAAAAAUUCAAAAUAGCUGCUUUGAGGAAGCUCAAUGAAACUCAAGACAACACAGAGAAGGAAUUCAGAAUCCUAUCAAAUAUAUUUAACAAAGAGAUUGAAAUAAUUUUUUAAAAUCAAGCAGAAAUUCUCGACCUGAAAAAUGUAAUUGACAUACUGAAGAAUGCAUCAGAUCUCUUACCAGCAGAACUGAUCAAGCAGAAGAAAGAAUUAGUGAGGUUAAAGACAGGCUAUUUGAAAAUACACAGUCAGAAAAGACAAAAUAAAAAAGAAUUAAAAACUAUAAAUCAAGAAAUAAAGUAAAAUAAAAACAAUGAAGCACACUUCCUAGAUCUAGAAAAUAGCCUCAAAAGAACAAAUCUAAGCAUUACAGGAGGUAGAGAGAGAGAUCAGCGUGGAAAAUCUAUUCAAAGGGAUAGUAAGAGAGAACUUUCCAGACCUAGAGAACGAUAUCAAUGUUCAAAUGCAAGAAGGUUAUAGAACACCAAGUAGAUUUAACCCAAAGGAGACUACCUCAAAGGCACUUAAUAAUCAAACUCCCAAGAGUCAAGGAUGAAGAAAGAAUUCCGAAGGAAGAAAGAGAAAAGAAACCAAUAACAUGUAAGGAGAUCCAGUAUAUCUUGCAGCAGACUUUUCAGUGGAAACAUUAUAGGCCAAGAGAGAGUGGUAUGACAUAUUUAAAGAACUGAAGGAAAAAAACCUUUCAUUCUAGAACAUUAUAUCCUGUGUAAAUAUUCUGAGAUCAGGAGUUUGAGAAUAGCCUGACCAUCAUGGUGAAAUGCUGUGUCUAGUAAAAAUACAAAAAUUAGCUAGUUAUUGUGGUGUAUGCUGUUAAUCCCGGCUACUCGGGAGGCUGAGGCAAGAGAAUCACUUGAACCCAGAAGGUGGAGGUUGCAGUGAGCUGAGAUCACACCACUGCACUCCAGCCUGGGUGACAGAGUGAGACUCUGCCACAAAAAUGUAAUAAUAGUAAUAAUAAAAGAAAAAGGCAAAAAUUCAAACAACUAAGCAGAAACUGGGCAAAGCCCUCCACAAAAGAGGAAAUGUGAAGGAAUAGCUAAUAAAAACAUGAAGAGGGUCUCAGCCUAACAGGGGGAGAUGUCACGUGACACCCACCAGACUGGCAAAAAUCCCACAACCCAAUCCAUGCAAGUGUUAGGGAGAAUGGAGAGUAGCAGGAACACCAGGCACUGCUAAGAAUGGUUGUGAAAUAUAUUUUUGUUAUGCUUCUAUAUGAAAGGGUGUGUGUUGUGGGUUAUGAGAAAAAUUACAUUUCUUACCUGGGAUGAAAUUUUAAACAUUGGAAGCUACUGACCAGAAGAAACUUGCACUUUUGUACAAAAGAAAUACCCAAGAACAUUCCUAACAAAACAGAGUCCUAAAGGCCCCAACCUGGCCAAACACUCAUCAACAGGGAAAUGAAGACAUUUCCCAUGCUCCUCUCAUAUGACCGGAGAUCAUGCAGCAAUGAAAAUGAAUCAUGUCAAUGUGGGUGGGUCUCAGGAAGAGAAUGGAGGACAAAAAUAGACAUGGAGCAGAUGCUCAGAGCCAUGCAGUGUAGGAGCAGCCACACAGGAGAAUUUCUCACAUCAAAGUUCAAAACUACAGCCAAGGCAACAGAGCAAGACCCUGUCUCAAAAAGACAAUGGAAAGUUCCAAAACUAAAUGGCAUAUUUUUUAGGGAUGUACACAUAAGUGGUGGAAGAAAUGUACUAUGGAGAAAAGUAUGGGAAUAAUAAAGACUAAAGCAGGAAUUGAUUCCCUCUGUAGGAGAAGGGAAGGGGCUAGGACUUAGGCAGGGCCUCCGGGGAGCAUCCGAAGUUAUGUCUCUUCAGAUUCUAUUCCCUAAACUUGGUGGAGGUCCUCUGUGUCCAAUGUGUCUAUAUUCUUUAUACCUUACCCGUAUUGUACAAAUGCUUUAUUUCUAUUCAACAUUUAGAAGACAAUUAUAAACAAGAUGCAUUAAAUAGCAAGAUGGCAAAUGAAUAUCAGGAAGGAACAUCAGGAACAUCCAUGAGGUUCCAUCCACGGAACCUCACCAUGGAUACGCUUGUGAUCAAGGGCCUUGUCUCCCCUCAAGACAGUCAGAGAUCAGAGGCUGCCCUCAUCAUAGCAGUGGAACAGGACCAGCUGGGACAGCGUCCUUCUGUGACACCUGUUGUGUUACCAGGCUGUGCGAACGGACUCAGCUGCCAGAACUCACAGAAUAUCAGUAACAGCACCGAAACUUCACAGGAAAAAUGCUCCACGAACUUCAGACUUAAAAAGCAUCACUAGCUCCUGACCAGGAUUCCAGCUCCAUGAACCUCAAACUAGAACACCAGCCCGGCUUCUCUGCAGGUCUCCAGCUCCAAAACCUAAGACAUCAGUGGCAGUACAAACUCAUCCCAGGGGCUCCAGCUCCAGGACCCUCAGACUUGAACCGCAGCACCAACUCUUCCCUGGAUCUCCAUCUCCAUGACCCUGAGACUUAAACAGCAGCAGCACCAGUUCAUCUGUGAAUCUCCAGCUCCACAACCCUCCAACUAGAAACACACCAGCUCCUCCCUGGGUCUCCAGCUGCACGACCCUCAAACUACAACAUCAGCUCCUCCCCGGGUCUCUAACUCCAUGACCCUCAAACUAAAACAACACCGCUCACCCCUGGGACUCCAGAUACACAAACCUUACACUAGAACAGAAACACCAGCUCCUCCACAGAUCUCCAGCUUUACAAUCUAAGACAUUAGUGGCAGCACCAUCUCCUCCCGGGGUCUCAAGCUCCAGGACCCUGAGACUUGAAUCGCAGCACCAGCUCUUCCCCGGAUCUCCAGCUUGAUGACCUUCAGACUUAAACAACAAAAGAAUCAGCUCCUCCCUGGGUCUCCAGCACCACAACCCACAAACUAGAAGAACACCACUCCCCCAUGGAUCUCCAGAUCCAUGACCCUCACACUAGAACACCAACACCUGCUCCUCCGUGGGUCUCCAGAUCCAUGAACCUCACACUGGAACACCAACACUGGCUCCUCUGCGGGUCUUCAGCUCCACAACCUAAGACAUCAGUGGCAGCAUUGGCUCCUCCCAUGGAUUCCAGCUCCAAGACUCUCACAUUUGAACUGCAAGACCACCUUCUCCCUGUAUCUCCAGCUGCACAACCCUCAAACUAGAACAUCAGCUCCUCUAACGGUCUUCAGCUGCACGAAACUCAAACUAGAAAAACAACAGCUCCUCCCUGGGUCUCCAGCUCUGCAACCGUCAAACUAGAAUACCAUCAGCUCCUCUCCACGUCUCCAGCUCCACAGCUCUCAAAUUAGAACAACAUCAGCUCCUCUCUGGGUCUCCAGCUGAAAGACCCUCAAAUGAGAACAAUAUCAGUUCCUCCCUGAGUCUUCAGCUGCACGACCCUCAAACUAGAACAUCAGCUCCUCUCCAGGUCUCCAGCUGCAGGACACUAAUACUAGAAAAACACCAGCUCCUCCCGGUUUCUACAGCUGCAUGACCCUCAAACUAAUAAACACCUGCUCCUUUCCACGUCUCCAGUUGCACAACCCUCAAACUAGAACAACACCUGCUCCUCUGUGGAUCUCCAGCUCCAUGAUCCUCAAACUAGAAUAACAUCAGCUCCUCUCCAGGUCUCCAGCUGCAGGACCCUCAAACGAGAACAUCAGCUUCUCCCUGAGUCUUCAGCGGCACGACCCUCAAACUAGAACAUCAGCUCUUCUCCAGGUCUCCAGCUGCAGGACACUCAUAUUAGAAAAAUACCAGCUCCCCCUGGGUUCUACAGCUGCACGGCCAUCAAACUAAAGAAACACCAGCUGCUCUCUGGGUCUCCAGCUGCAGGACCCUCAAACCAGAACAACAUCAGAUUCUCCCGGGUUCUGCAGCUGCCCGACCCUCAAACUAAAGAAACUCCUGCUCCUCCCAGGGUCUGUAGCUGCAUGACUCUCAAACUAAAAAACACCAGCUCCUCCCCAGAUCUCCAGCUGCAAGAGCCUCCUAUUGCUCCUUUGUUUGUUACCCAUAUUUUUCCAACUUCUAAGAAGUUUUGUUACUACCUUGGUUCAUCGGAAAACUUCAGCACAAGUGUAUUGCAUGAAUGUCUUGUAAUACACAAGUGUAUUACAUGAAUCACUGUCGAUCUGUCUUGCAGAAAGACCUGGGUAGUGAAGAUGAGAGUGAGACCUCCCACUAGUGAGUAAGGUUCUCAAAUGGGGGAAUGAAGAGAGAGGUUAAAGAUUAACCCCCCCACUCUAAUCACAUAUGCUAUCUCUGAAUCUCAAUCUAUCACAACCCUUUCACAUGAACCCCUUAGAUUUGUAAGUCCUUAAAAGGGCCAGGAACUCUUUCUUCAGAGAGCUCAGUUCUUGACAUGCAAGUCUGCUGACGCUCCCGGCCAAAUAAAGCCACUUCCUUCUUUAACCUGGUGUCUGAGUGGUUUUGUCUGUGGCUAGUCCUCCUACACCACCAUGAUUCUAAGUUUCCUGAGGUUUUCUCAGAAGCCACUAUGCUUCUCAUACAGCCUGCAGAACCUUGAGCCAAUUAAUCUUCUUUUUCCUAUAAACUACCCAGUCUCAGGUAUUUAAUAGCAGUGCAAGAAUGGACUAAUACAUGAUUAUUCCAGCUAAACAAAAUCAAAGUAGACACCAUGCCAUUGUUAGCAAAUUCAGGCUAAAUCACCAACCAAAAAUAUGUAUGAAUGUCUAUUGCAAUAUGUGUAAUGCAUCUUUGUGUAAUAUGCAUAUUUGAAUACAAUUUAUAUUUAUGUUUUUUGAAGAGAUAAAAUCAUUGGGAUUCUUUUACAUUCAGAAUCCAUGAAGGUCCUUGAACUAGAAGGUAUGAUUAAUUUCAAAAUAAAUUUGAAAAUUAGUUCAUAAGUCAAUGGCAAAAUUAAAAUAGGUGGGAAUUAAUGUUAUAAUUUCAUAUACUGCUUUCAUAAUUUAGCAGUUUUUCAUACUGGGAAAAUUAUAAAUAAUAAUAGGAAAUAUAUUAAUAUAUCAAAUUGUAUACUUCUGGCCCAAUUUCUUCUUCUUUUCUGAGAAUAUAUAAUUACUAUUUGAUAUAGAUUUUUUGUUAGCCAUAGACAAUCCUUAAUUGAAAAAUCAUUUAGACAGUCUCUCAAACUUUAAGUUAAUUUUCUAUGCCACGUUUUCUUAACUCAUCAAAAUAUGCAUCAUAUUGAUUUUCAAUUAAUUUAUUUUGAAAUGAAUGAAAUAAAAAUGUGAAAAAAGUUAUCCAGAAUGAAACAACAGUAUAGGAUGAUUAACAAGAUUAACAUAUUAGUCAAUAUAUAAUUCCACUGCUAUAUUGCCAUAGCUAUGGAACUGUUGUGAUAAGUUCAUUCUACUAAAUCCUAAUAUUUAAAAAAAAGAAAAGAAAAAUGACCUCCAGUACAUAUAGAAAAUUGGUUGCUUUAUUAUGCAUUAACUAAUUUUGAAGAAAUAGCAAAGAAAUGUUCAAACUUUGUUUUAUUAAAACAAUGCUGUAUUGUGUUAGACUAUUGAAAAACAAAACAAAUAGGGACCUGUAUUCUUUGAACUGAAGAGCUUCUUGAAAAUAGAAUAAAUACCCCUGGCAUUGGACUUUUAAUAUGGUAUUGUUUAAAGGAGCACUUUUGGCUAGCAAAAUUAGAAAGGAUUUUUUAUUUUUUCAUCCUCUAUAUAUGCUGUUCCUUUCUCCAGAAGACAAGCCAAUGGUAUGUGAAAGAGCUUUAAAUUUUUCACUCAAAAUAAUCAUGUAGAGAUAAAAAAGAACCGACCUUCUAUUAUAUCACCGGUCUAAGAGAAACGUGCGUUUUAACUUCACCCUCAACAGAGUAAGCUCUUGUGGCCUUAGUGCUUAUCAUGCAUUGUCAGUAGGGAAAGAAAAUCACAAUGAAGAACAAAACAUUUUCAACUUCUAAAAACUAAAAGAGGGAAAAUUUAAGGCAGAACUAAAUUAAGUAGCAAUAAAUUAGGGCUGCUUUAGUUGGUGGUUUCCAAUAAGCUCUACAGCCACUUCCUUCACCAAGUACAUGAGUGUUGCUUCAGCCAUCAUUCCUUUAAUUCAUGUCCUUUCUCUCUCUAGAAAAACUCAUAUAUUCAUUAUCCUAGGAGUAUCAGGUUUGCAAAGCUGGACCAAACUAAAGACUCUUCGAGGUGCACUUUGGCUUCUUAAAAGAGCUACCAAGAUUUUGGCUGAGACGUGACUUAAAACUCAGCAGAGGGAAAAAACAAGGAACAAGCAACAAUAAAGAAAAAAAAAAGAAGUAGAGACUAGGUAACUAAGAGCAAGAUAAAAAGUGUCUAAAGCAUUGCUGAGCACAUGGAAGACACUCAAUAAAUACUCGUUUAAUGGAAUUGAAUUUGUAAGCACCAGAGACUCAUGCUUCCUUUUCACAUAGCUUGACACUUGGCUGCCCAGGAUCCUUGCAUGCAAGGUGAUGGAGUCUUGGCUGUCACUCAGGCUGGAGUGCAGUAGUGUGAUCUUGGCUCACUGCAAGCUCCGCCUCCCAGGUACAAGUGAUUCUCCUGCCUCAGCCUCCCGAGUAGCUGGAACUGCAGGAUCUCAUCCAGGAUACCACGUUACAUUUAGCAGUCAUGUCUCUUUAGUCGUCUCUUUACUCCGUAUUAUUCCAACACUUCCACUUGUUGAAUCGAUGGCCUAUGUUGCUUCAUGGGGACGGCAGAACCAGGUCUUGACCAUAAAAAACAUGGUCUCACUCUGUUGCCCAGGCUGAAGUGCAUUGGUAUAAUCAUGGCUCACUGCAGCCUCAAACUCCUGGGCUCAAACAAUCCUCCUGCCUCAGUCUCCUGAGUGGCUGAAACUACAGGUGUGAGCCACUGAGCCCGGCCAGCCACUAUGCUAUGUUGCCUACCUAAGGCAUAAUAAACCCAGUGACUGAAAAUAAAGUUUUUGUGGUCAUCGUUUUGUUGUUACACAUAUGAAUUGCAGCAAAUGCACCAUGAUCCCUACUAUAGAAAUGCAAGAGAAUAAUUUCAAUAACAAAGAUAAAGAUUGGUGUGUAGAUGUACUCAGGUUAAUGGGGGCGCAAGAAAGAGGGAAAUGGAUUUGUAAAUACAUUCCUGCAGAGGGUAACACGUGAGCUGGGUCUCCGAAAAAGAGGUGGGUCUCAGAAAAAGAGAUCUGUGGUUCUGAAAGUUGACUGUGUGCUAGAAUUAACAGGAAGGCUUGCUAAAACAUGAAAUACUGGACCAUCCAGAGUUUCUGAUUCUGAGAUCUAAGCUAGAGCCAUAUCAUUUGCAUCUCUAACAGGUUCCUAGGUGCUGGUGACACAGAGGGAUCACUCUUCUAACCAGAGUUAGAUGGAAAAGAACAUUGGGAAAGAAACACUGGGAAAGAAAGCAGGUUGAGUGGAGGAUUAAAUACUAUUAGUUUCAUGCGCGUCCAUGUGAAGAGACCACCAGACAGGCUUUGUGUGAGCAACAUGGCUGUUUAUUUCACCUGGGUGCAGGUGGGCUGAGUCGGAAAAGAGAGUCAGCAAAGGGAGAUAGGGGUGGGGCCUUUAAUAGGAUUUGGGUAGGUAAAGGAAAAUUACAGUCAAAGGGGGUUGUUCUCUGGUGGGCAGGUGUGGGGGUCACAAGGUGCUCAGUAGGGGAGCUUUUGAGCCAGGAUGAGCCAGGAGAAGGAAUUUCACAAGAUAAUGUCAUCGGUUAACGCAGGAACAGGCCAUUUUCACUUCUUUUGUGGUGGAAUGUCAUCAGUUAAGGCAGGAACUGGCCAUCUGGAUGUGUACGUGCAGGUCACAGGGGAUAUGAUGGCUUAGCUUGGGCUCAGAGGCCUGACAAUUAGUAUGAAGCAAGGCAAAGGAGAGAUAAAGCAGAAGUUGGGUAAUGCUUAGUGGUGUGAAUUUGGAGCAGAAAAAUAACAUGAGACAAUGUAUAACAGAAUUCCUUGGAAACCUCAAAAAUUCUGUUUAAAUGUGAUAAUUUUAAAGAUAAUAAGGCUUAAUGAGAAGAAAAUAGUUCUUUGUGUAUAAACAUUUUGAGAAAGAGAAUCAAAAGCCGCUAAAAUGCUUCAGUCUGUGCACAAAUAUCUGUGAAUAUCUGUACCUAACAAAAGUUUUAUCUUUUGCCUCUUCCCUCUCUGCUCCAUGCACAAACUUGCCCAUGGUGACACUCCAUCCGCUGAUGAUGUCUUUUUUUGUCAAAUAAAAUGUUGAACAUUCUUGAAAAAGCUUGAAGGGACUAUCAUUGCCCUUCUAUAUCUAGUGACGUCUUUUUGUUCAAGAAGGUAGAUUCACUCUGUGUAAGGUUUUACCUGGAGUUGAAUGUGAGAUUGUAACACUGCCAACAAAAGCAACAUUCCAUGUCUCGAAUUGAAAUGUAAUCUGUCAACCCAUUUAAAACAAAAAAACAAAAUUACAACAAAUUUAGGUUGGAUAUUUAAUUGGUUUUUAUUUACAAUUCAUGAAUGUGGGCAGCAUCUCAUUUUAUAAAAUGGAAUAAGAACUCCCAUGAGCUUGCUGGAUACAGUGAGCUCUAAAUUUCUCUUCAAAGAAUCAGUAUGUCAGUAUGUUCAGUUCUUUGUCCUCCAUUUUAAAGUUUAACUUCCUCGUAGUUUCAGUAAACAACCUUUUCCACCAGUUUUAAUCAGUAGUUCACCUCUGUUCCCCUGGUCACCUGCUUUGACCUGAGUCAUCCCAGUCACCUGCUCUGACCUAAGUCAGUUUUAGUCACCAGUUCUGUAACCGUCUUUCCCACCAAACUGCUCACCCCGCCACUCUGGCUCAUACCCCUGCUCUCUUUAAAAUACCCAAUCAGAAUUAGCUUAGACUGUGCAGUCCAACCCUAGCCAAUAGGGGAACGACACAGCAGUAGGGGCUACCUGUAUCAGGAAUAAGAACCCCUUCCCCUCCCUUGUUCAGGUGUGCUCUCACCAUUGCUCCAACCAUGAGUCGCACCCUACUACAGAAGUAAAAUUACCCUGCUGAGAGAAAAUUAUUUGUUUGAGCACUAGUUCAUCUUUUCAGCAUCAAAGAACAAGCAUUUGUUUCUAAGAAGCUGAGCAGAGGAGGUUGGCUUUGUAGGCAGAAAAGAGUUGAAGAAAACAGAACAAAAAGCAGAUUAGUCAUUUCAAAGUUACUAUUGAUAUAGAGUUAAAACAUAGGGAAUUCCUUAUUACACUGGUUCAGAUAAACUGGGCUGCCCCUGAUUGUUUCCUGUGAAUAAUGUGGGUUUUUUGGUUUCUUUGUUUUUGUUUUUUUAAUAGUGGCUUGUUUCAAAGUUCAGUUUGAUUAUGUAGCACCUAGCAUGAGUGAAUCCAUUCUGGUUUGUUAUAGUCUGUUGGGGCUGUGAAAGGAAACUGAAUCUUAGGGUCCCCAAAUCACUAAGCAAAAGGGAAAAGUCAAGCUGGGAACUGCUUAGGGCAAACCUGCCUCCCAUUCUAUUCAAAGUCAUCCCUCUACUCACUGAGAUAAAAGCAUAUCUGAUUGUCUGCUUUGGAAAGGCUCAUCAGAAACUCAAAAGAAUGCAAUCAUUUGUCUCUUACCUACCUAUGACCUGGAAGCCCCUCCCCACUUUGUUUUCCCACCUUUGCUUCUAGUUGUCCCACCUUUCAGGACCGAACCGAUGUUCAUCUUACAUACCUUGGUUGAAGUUUCGUGUCUCCCUAACAUGUAUAAAACCAGACUGUGCCCCGACCACCUUGGGCACAUGUUGUCAGGAUCUGCUGAGGCUGUGUCAUGGGGGUACAUCCUCCACCUUGGCAAAAUAAACUUUCUAAAUUAACUGAGACCUGUCUCAGAUACUCGGAGUUCACAGGGCCAAGUAUAGGCACUUACUCUAAAACAAGGAUUUCAUAAAUUUAUUUCGUACAGCAAUCAUUGACAUUUGUUCAGUUUCUAUGUAUGUUCAGGUGCAUGCACAUUCAUGCACACAACAAACUGAAUUUUACUUUUUCCCUCUGACUCU